UCCCCUAGUAACUGCGAGUGAAGCGGGAAAAGCUCAAAUUUGAAAUCUGGCAGUUUUUGACUGUCCGAGUUGUAAUCUAGAGAAGUGUUACCUGUGCUGGACUGUGUACAAGUCUUCUGGAAUGGAGCAUCGUAGAGGGUGAGAAUCCCGUCUUUUGACACAGACUACCAGUGCAUUAUGGUGUGCUCUCGAAGAGUCGAGUUGUUUGGGAAUGCAGCUCAAAAUGGGUGGUAAAUGCCAUCUAAAGCUAAAUAUUGGCGAGAGACCGAUAGCGAACAAGUACCGUGAGGGAAAGAUGAAAAGAACUUUGGAAAGAGAGUUAAACAGUACGUGAAAUUGCUGAAAGGGAAACGCUUGAAGUCAGUCACGUUGGCUAGAAAUCAGCCUUGCUUCUGCUUGGUGGACUUUCUUGUCUGCGGGUCAGCAUCAAUUUUGACCAUUGGAUAAAGUCUAUGGGAAUGUAGCAUCUUUGGAUGUGUUAUAGCCCAUUGUCACAUACAGUGGUUGGGAUUGAGGAACUCAGCACGCCUGCAAGGGCCGGGUUUCGACCACGUUCGUGCUUAGGAUGCUGGCAUAAUGGCUUUAAUCGACCCGUCUUGAAACACGGACCAAGGAGUCUAACAUGCCUGCGAGUGUUUGGGUGGAAAACCCAUGCGCGCAAUGAAAGUGAAAGUUGAGAUCUCUGUUAAAGGGAGAGCAUUGACGCCCAGACCAGACCUUCUGUGACGGAUCUGCGGUAGAGCAUGUGUGUUGGGACCCGAAAGAUGGUGAACUAUGCCUGAAUAGGGUGAAGCCAGAGGAAACUCUGGUGGAGGCUCGUAGCGAUUCUGACGUGCAAAUCGAUCGUCAAAUUUGGGUAUAGGGGCGAAAGACUAAUC
rnacentral:rRNA from 1 species